GUCCUACGGGACGCAGCAGUGGGGAAUAUUGGGCAAUGGGCGCAAGCCUGACCCAGCAACGCCGCGUGAAGGAAGAAGGCUUUCGGGUUGUAAACUUCUUUUCUCAGGGACGAAGCAAUUGACGGUACCUGAGGAAUAAGCCACGGCUAACUACGUGCCAGCAGCCGCGGUAAUACGUAGGUGGCAAGCGUUAUCCGGAUUUACUGGGUGUAAAGGGCGUGUAGGCGGGACUGCAAGUCAGAUGUGAAAACCACGGGAUCAAACUGGGGCCUGCAUUUGAACCUGUAGUUCUUGAGUACUGGAGG
rnacentral:rRNA from 1 species